CCUACGGGAGGCAGCAGUGAGGAAUAUUGGUCAAUGGGCUUACGCCUGAACCAGCCAAGUCGCGUGAGGGAAGACUGCCCUAUGGGUUGUAAACCUCUUUUGUCAGGGAGCAACGCCGGCUACGUGUAGCCGGACUGAGAGUACCUGAAGAAAAAGCAUCGGCUAACUCCGUGCCAGCAGCCGCGGUAAUACGGAAGAUGCGAGGGGUAUCCGGAUUUAUUGGGUGUAAAGGGUGCGUAGGCGGAAUGCCAAGUCAGCGGUAAAAGCGCGGGGCUCAACCUCGCUCCGCCGUUGAAACUGGCGUUCUUGAGUGGGCGAGAAGUAUGCGGAAUGCGUGGUGUAGCGGUGAAAUGCAUAGAUAGCACGAAGAACUGCGAUUGCGAAGGCAGCAUACCGGCGCCCAACUGACGCUGAAGCACGAAAGCGUGGGUAUCGAACAGGAUUAGAUACCCCAGUAGUC
rnacentral:rRNA from 1 species